AUCGCAUCAGGCAUUAGCCGCCUACACUCAGUCCCAGAUAUAGCCAAGCCAAAGCACGAGCUCUCUCCCUCCAAAGUAAACGAGUCCCAGCCGGCUCCCAUCCUUGCAAGCAUGAGGACUCAGGUGCUGCUCAUCUCGUUGGUCGUCCUCGCCGUCGUCGCGGCGCUGCCCCUCGCACAGGGCCAAGGGGCGAGCCCGUGGCCGUGCUGCGACAAGUGCGGCGUGUGCACCAAGUCCAUCCCGCCGCAGUGCAGGUGCCAGGACGUGUCGCCGACUGGGUGCAACUCGGCUUGCAAGAGCUGCGUCAGGUCCACCGCCGGCUUCCAAUGCGCGGACAGCAUCACCAACUUCUGCGAGCGCCGCUGCACGCCGGCCGCGUGA
rnacentral:rRNA from 1 species